GACGAACGCUGGCGGCGUGCUUAACACAUGCAAGUCGAACGGAAAGACCCUGCUUUUGUGGGGUGCUCGAGUGGCGAACGGGUGAGUAACACGUGAGUAACCUGCCCUUGACUUUGGGAUAACUUCAGGAAACUGGGGCUAAUACCGGAUAGGAGCUCCUGCUGCAUGGUGGGGGUUGGAAAGUUUCGGCGGUUGGGGAUGGACUCGCGGCUUAUCAGCUUGUUGGUGGGGUAGUGGCUUACCAAGGCUUUGACGGGUAGCCGGCCUGAGAGGGUGACCGGCCACAUGGGGACUGAGAUACGGCCCAGACUCCUACGGGAGGCAACAGUGGGGAAUAUUGCACAAUGGGCGGAAGCCUGAUGCAGCAACGCCGCGUGCGGGAUGACGGCCUUCGGGUUGUAAACCGCUUUCGCCUGUGACGAAGCGUGAGUGACGGUAAUGGGUAAAGAAGCACCGGCUAACUACGU
rnacentral:rRNA from 1 species